rnacentral:lncRNA from 1 species
AUCUUUUUGAAGCUCUGUGGAAAGUACUGCCCUCAGGAAAAGCUGACUUCCCUAAAGUCAAGAUGCCAGAACAGACAAUGUCAGUGCCUAUUUCAGCAGAAAGUCAUCUGGGUCAACUUAAAUCACCAAGGAACUAUUGUGUAUAGGCAAAAGAAGUCUCCUCCAGAGACAGGAAUACCAACCUCUGCUGAAGAUUUGCAGACCCUCUUCCACUCUUCACCACUUUUACUAAACCUGUCACAAGCUGAACACACUCACCAAGACAGUCCCUGUUGUUUUGCUCUUGGCCCUUGUAACCAGCAAGAGUUGAAUAAAGUACCAGAGAUAAGCCUGCUGGGUCCUUUCAAUGUGUAAGAAUCUCUUUUUCUUGGAUUCUAUGUAGGGCAGUCAGCCUGAGAGGAUGCUCACAAACUGAAGGGAACAGCAUGCCCACACUGAUAAUUUCCAACACUUGGUGUCUUCUGUGUCACAGAACUGCUGAUGGUGUAUCAGCCAAGAUUCAACAGUAAAAAAAUUUCAGGAAUGGCCAAGGAACCAACAACUGAGCAGCAGGCGCUGAAUAUCUUUUGGAAAGCACAUCCUUUUUAGUUCACAGGUGGCGUGAGGAGGAACAAUUGACUUGAAAAUUACAGCAGUUCUGCAAUUUCUUCAAAUUGACAUAAAUCAAGGAAUAACUACUUAGAAUAACCAACUCCUUACUCCAGGACAUGAUCAGAACUAGAAAAUUAUAUUGAAGCUGGGAAGAUGAAGAGAUGUUUGGAUAUGCUGAGAUCACAGUUUUCAGCUGUAAGCACAGGAGUGCACAUUUUAACAAUGAAGCAGAUGCUUCCAAUUAUCUGCAAUAAGGGACACUUGAAAAUCUAGCUGAUAUUAGGUGGCUGUCAGAAGGCUCUUGGAUAAGAAGAAAAGGAUGCAAAGUACAGCAAAAUAAUUUUAAUUUCAAAACACAUUAAUUUUAAGCCUGCUCUACUAGUUGAAAAACUUGUGUGUAUUCUGAUGACUGAAAGCAAAACAAUCAAACUGGAAAUCUUAAUGUAAAAUGCUUUUCCUAUUUUAAAC